AGACGGGACCCGCACAAGCGGUGGAUGAUGUGGAUUAAUUCGAUGCAACGCGAAGAACCUUACCUACCCUUGACAUGUCCGGAACUUGCCAGAGAUGGCUUGGUGCCCGAAAGGGAAUCGGAACACAGGUGCUGCAUGGCUGUCGUCAGCUCGUGUCGUGAGAUGUUGGGUUAAGUCCCGCAACGAGCGCAACCCUUAUCAUUAGUUGCUACGCAAGGGCACUCUAAUGAGACUGCCGGUGACAACCGGAGGAAGGUGGGGAUGACGUCAAGUCCUCAUGGCCCUUAUGGGUAGGGCUUCACACGUCAUACAAUGGUCGGUACAGAGGGUUGCCAAGCCGCGAGGCGGAGCCAAUCCCACAAAGCCGAUCGUAGUCCGGAUUGUUCUCUGCAACUCGAGAGCAUGAAGUCGGAAUCGCUAGUAAUCGCAGGUCAGCAUACUGCGGUGAAUACGUUCCCGGGUCUU
rnacentral:rRNA from 1 species